rnacentral:rRNA from 1 species
UCUGGUGACUAUAGCAAGGAGGUCACACCUGUUCCCAUGCCGAACACAGAAGUUAAGCUCCUUAGCGUCGAUGGUAGUUGGACUUACGUUCCGCUAGAGU